rnacentral:lncRNA from 1 species
UUGGGUUGAGCUUAAUUGUAUGUGCUGACAAGGUUCAAGUUUUGGGUUGUAUGGGGGAAAUUGAAAGGCAAUUGAAAAGCAUUGAGCUCAAAUGUUGAGAAAGAAAAAUGCAUGAGAAAAAGAAAAGAAAAAAAAGCAUGAAGAUGAGCUCAAUGUAAAAAUAAAAGGAAAGGAAAGAAGUUGGGAAUAAGUAAGAUUGGUGAGGGGGAGAGUUGUGCUUAAACUUUGAAUAUUAUUGUAGCUCUCUUAACUCAAGGAUUUUGCAUUCCAAAAAAAGCAAUUUUUCUUGUUAGCCCAGCCUCAAUACAAGCCUUAGAAAAGUCCUUAUGAUGGCAUUUGCAAGUGAGGAUUUUGAUUGUUUGAGAUGAAUGGAAAUUUUGUUUCAUAUGACUUGUGAAUAAUAGAGAGAUGGAGUGUCACCUUAAACACUUGGGUGAUUGAGUGAAACACUUGCUUGGUAAGAAUGGAUAAAUUUCAUGCUUACAUCUUUGCUUAGUGGAUUGGUCAUUCAUAAAGUGUAAAAUCUGUUGAGAACUAUGUGAUCAUGUGAACUGAAUUG